CCGGCGGGCCAUCAUGCAAGUCGAGCGAAUGAUGAGGAGCUUGCUCCUCUGAUUUAGCGGCGGACGGGUGAGUAACACGUGGGUAAUCUGCCUGUAAGACGGGGAUAACUCCGGGAAACCGGGGCUAAUACCGGAUAAUAAGAGAAGAAGCAUUUCUUCUUUUUGAAAGUCGGUUUCGGCUGACACUUACAGAUGAGCCCGCGGCGCAUUAGCUAGUUGGUGAGGUAACGGCUCACCAAGGCGACGAUGCGUAGCCGACCUGAGAGGGUGAUCGGCCACACUGGGACUGAGACACGGCCCAGACUCCUACGGGAGGCAGCAGUAGGGAAUCUUCGGCAAUGGGCGAAAGCCUGACCGAGCAACGCCGCGUGAGCGAUGAAGGCCUUCGGGUCGUAAAGCUCUGUUGUUAGAGAAGAACAAGUACGAGAGUAACUGCUCGUACCUUGACGGUACCUAACCAGAAAGCCACGGCUAACUACGUGCCAGCAGCCGCGGUAAUACGUAGGUGGCAAGCGUUAUCCGGAAUUAUUGGGCGUAAAGCGCGCGCAGGCGGUCUCUUAAGUCUGAUGUGAAAGCCCACGGCUCAACCGUGGAGGGUCAUUGGAAACUGGGAGACUUGAGUGCAGGAGAGAAAAGUGGAAUUCCACGUGUAGCGGUGAAAUGCGUAGAGAUGUGGAGGAACACCAGUGGCGAAGGCGGCUUUUUGGCCUGUAACUGACGCUGAGGCGCGAAAGCGUGGGGAGCAAACAGGAUUAGAUACCCUGGUAGUCCACGCCGUAAACGAUGAGUGCUAGGUGUUGGGGGGUUCCACCCUCAGUGCUGAAGUUAACACAUUAAGCACUCCGCCUGGGGAGUACGACCGCAAGGUUGAAACUCAAAGGAAUUGACGGGGGCCCGCACAAGCAGUGGAGCAUGUGGUUUAAUUCGAAGCAACGCGAAGAACCUUACCAGGUCUUGACAUCCUUUGACCACUCUAGAGAUAGAGCUUUCCCCUUCGGGGGACAAG
rnacentral:rRNA from 2 species